rnacentral:lncRNA from 1 species
UACCUUCAGCCACCGGUGCUUUUGUGCUUGACAGUGAUGGAAACCCUCUUGAAAAUGGUGGCACAUACUAUGUGCCAGCACCAAAUAACUGCGGUGGAAUAGAAUACACUACAUCAGGAAACGAAACUUGCCCUAUCACUGUUGUGCAACAUCACGACCCAACCUGUAAGGGGUUUCCGAUAACGAUUUCGUCCCCGGCCCGAAUCCGUUACAUCUCCGAAGGCCUUAAUGUGAACAUAGGGUUCACUUUCAGACCCCCUCCGUGUGCCCCCUCUUCUUUGUGGACUGUUCUCAAGGAUCAAUCUGAACACCCAGACCCCUACGAAGGAGUAAUAUUGCCUGUUAAACUUAAUAAUGAGGACAACAGCAACAAUACAGUUCCCGGUUGGUUUAAAAUUCAGAAACUUCCCUUGGACUUUAUUACAACCUACUACAUUGUGUUCUGUCCACUUGACCAAAGCCCAUGUUGGAGUGUUGGCUCUAAUUUCGACCAAUACGGAAACAGGCGUUUGGUGGUGGCUCAGUUUGCGCGGCGCCAAGACAUAGAGUUUCAGAAACUUUCAUACGCAUCAAGAUCAACUCAUUCUUCUGCAUGAAGAAGUACCACUUAAUUGCCCUCAAGAAUCAUGUACUUUCUCCUAGUGAGUGAUCUUGUGUAAGGCUAAAUAAAUGCUUCAUUUUGUAAUAAAUUAUUCUAUGGCUAAAUAAAUUAAUCAAAGCUUAUUAUGUCUCCAGCGUAGAGUAGUAUAUAAACUGUAUAUAGUUUUUGAUUGAAUUUAAUUUAUACCUUCUCGGAAGCUUGACUCCAUCCAUCAUCCUUGCACGCCAUGCACCAUGCAGUCCGUUAUGCUUUUCUGUUAUUUCUUUUUCGUGUAGUUUGUUACAGCAUCAACGUAUGAUGCCUAUAUAUAACAAUUAUCGUGUAAUGAAAGGACACAUGAAUAAGAACAAUUUCCUUUCUUAUC